rnacentral:rRNA from 1 species
AACCGGGGGAACUGAAACAUCUAAGUACCCCGAGGAAAAGAAAUCAACCGAGAUUCCCCCAGUAGCGGCGAGCGAACGGGGAGCAGCCCAGAGCCUGAAUCAGUGUGUGUGUUAGUGGAAGCGUCUGGAAAGGCGCGCGAUACAGGGUGACAGCCCCGUACACAAAAAUGCACAUGCUGUGAGCUCGAUGAGUAGGGCGGGACACGUGGUAUCCUGUCUGAAUAUGGGGGGACCAUCCUCCAAGGCUAAAUACUCCUGACUGACCGAUAGUGAACCAGUACCGUGAGGGAAAGGCGAAAAGAACCCCGGCGAGGGGAGUGAAAAAGAACCUGAAACCGUGUACGUACAAGCAGUGGGAGCACGCUUAGGCGUGUGACUGCGUACCUUUUGUAUAAUGGGUCAGCGACUUAUAUUCUGUAGCAAGGUUAACCGAAUAGGGGAGCCGAAGGGAAACCGAGUCUUAACUGGGCGUUAAGUUGCAGGGUAUAGACCCGAAACCCGGUGAUCUAGCCAUGGGCAGGUUGAAGGUUGGGUAACACUAACUGGAGGACCGAACCGACUAAUGUUGAAAAAUUAGCGGAUGACUUGUGGCUGGGGGUGAAAGGCCAAUCAAACCGGGAGAUAGCUGGUUCUCCCCGAAAGCUAUUUAGGUAGCGCCUCGUGAAUUCAUCUCCGGGGGUAGAGCACUGUUUCGGCAAGGGGGUCAUCCCGACUUACCAACCCGAUGCAAACUGCGAAUACCGGAGAAUGUUAUCACGGGAGACACACGGCGGGUGCUAACGUCCGUCGUGAAGAGGGAAACAACCCAGACCGCCAGCUAAGGUCCCAAAGUCAUGGUUAAGUGGGAAACGAUGUGGGAAGGCCCAGACAGCCAGGAUGUUGGCUUAGAAGCAGCCAUCAUUUAAAGAAAGCGUAAUAGCUCACUGGUCGAGUCGGCCUGCGCGGAAGAUGUAACGGGGCUAAACCAUGCACCGAAGCUGCGGCAGCGACGCUUAUGCGUUGUUGGGUAGGGGAGCGUUCUGUAAGCCUGUGAAGGUGUGCUGUGAGGCAUGCUGGAGGUAUCAGAAGUGCGAAUGCUGACAUAAGUAACGAUAAAGCGGGUGAAAAGCCCGCUCGCCGGAAGACCAAGGGUUCCUGUCCAACGUUAAUCGGGGCAGGGUGAGUCGACCCCUAAGGCGAGGCCGAAAGGCGUAGUCGAUGGGAAACAGGUUAAUAUUCCUGUACUUGGUGUUACUGCGAAGGGGGGACGGAGAAGGCUAUGUUGGCCGGGCGACGGUUGUCCCGGUUUAAGCGUGUAGGCUGGUUUUCCAGGCAAAUCCGGAAAAUCAAGGCUGAGGCGUGAUGAC